rnacentral:rRNA from 1 species
UUGAACGCUGGCGGCAGGCCUAACACAUGCAAGUCGAGCGCGAAAGGUUUUCGGACUGAGUAAAGCGGCGGACGGGUGAGUAACGCGUGGGAAUCUGCCCAGUAGUGGGGGACAACAGUCGGAAACGACUGCUAAUACCGUAUACGCCCUACGGGGGAAAGGGGGGGAUCUUCGGACCUCUCGCUAUUGGAUGAGCCCGCGUCGGAUUAGCUAGUUGGUAGGGUAAAGGCCUACCAAGGCUACGAUCCGUAACUGGUCUGAGAGGAUGAUCAGUCACACUGGAACUGAGACACGGUCCAGACUCCUACGGGAGGCAGCAGUGGGGAAUAUUGGACAAUGGGGGCAACCCUGAUCCAGCCAUGCCGCGUGUGUGAAGAAGGCCUUAGGGUUGUAAAGCACUUUCAGUGGGGAGAAAGGUUUGUCACCUAAUACGUGAUGAAAUUGAUGUUACCCACAGAAGAAGCACCGGCUAACUCCGUGCCAGCAGCCGCCGCAG